rnacentral:lncRNA from 1 species
GCUGUGGGUUACUAGGAGUAGAGUCUAUUGUAGUAGUAAUGGGCCUUCCUAAGGCAAGGGUCAGCUGUAUGUAAACUUUCUCAAACUAGAACUGUGUGUUUUGAGACUGAUUGGAAAUGUCUCUCUUUCUACUGCUACAUUUUAAUGGAGGAGCAAUAUAGAAACAUAAGUAUUGUCUGUGUUAUCUAUUCUGUGCAUUCUGAGGGUUCAUGUUCUCAUCUAUGUCCUGAAUCUACAUGGGGAGGAGUUGUACCAAGGAUAUCGAAAUCAUUCAGGUGUUGGAUGUUCGUGACCUUAAUAAACACAUGACAGCUUUUAUUAUCUGAGGCUUCAAACCCCACUGCGUGGAAGGAGGAAUGGUGCUAAGUGAGGCAGAAAGGGGAAAUGGGUGAGCUAUUGCUUGUUUAGUUUGCUUAUUUGUUAUAAAACUACUCA